rnacentral:rRNA from 1 species
GCAUUUGACUAGUUCUGUGUCGACAUGUGCCCGGUUCAAAAACCUCCACAAUUAAGUGCACUUGAGCCAAAGGAGUCUUGGGAUGGGUGAACUCCCGAGAAGUCUUGGUUACCAGGUGCA